UAGGGAAUAUUAGAAAUGGACGAAAGUCUGAUCUAGCAACACCGCGUGUGCGAAGAAGGCCUUCGGGUUGUAAAGCACUUUUUGGAAGGAUUAGGAAGGAAUGUACUUCCAGAAUAAGUCUCGGCUAACUACGUGCCAGCAGCCGCGGUAAAACGUAGGAGGCAAACGUUAUCCGGAUUUACUGGGCGUAAAGCGCGUGUAGGUGGUUCUGUAAGUAGGGCGUGAAAGAUCCUGGCUCAACUGGGAGAGGCCGUUCUAAACUGCAGAGCUAGAGGAUGGUAGAGGGAGGUGGAAGUCCGGGUGUAGCGGUGGAAUGCGCAGAUAUCCGGAGGAACACCAGUGGCGAAAGCGGCCUCCUGGACCAUUCCUGACACUCAGACGCGAAAGCUAGGGUAGCAAACG
rnacentral:rRNA from 1 species